GAAAAGCGCCAGAGCUGCCUUUUGGGGCAGCUGACGAGGAGGAGGCUCAUCGAAGAUUUCGGCGGAUACCUCCUGCCGCGCGCCGCGGCAUAAGCGUUCGGGCAAAAUCCGGGAGCGAUCCCGGCCACAAGA
rnacentral:ncRNA from 1 species